CUUAAACUGCUGUGUGAUGCCUGUUUCGCAAAAAUCGCUCCAGCGUCCACCCCUCGCCUACUCGCUCGUUCGCUCCAGGGCUGCGUUGUGUGGCGAUGUCUCCGUGAGAAAAAGGCGCGUGAAAAGUUGUGUUAAAUGUUUGAAAUACAACACGCACGCCGAGAAGGGACUCCGCUCCUUGUGUGCGCGGCACCGGCCGGCGUGUGUGCGCGACAGACUCCGCCAAGCAAGGCCAAAGUAGUCCAGGACGCAGAGAAACUCUUCUUUGUGACGCUUUAAAAAGCAAAACUAACCAAAAAGUCAAACUGGCUCACGUUCUCGCCAACCAGCCCGGCGUGACAGCUGCUCUUCAGCCCGUUUGGAGGACUGUGAGCAGCAGCAAGAGGAUGGCAUCAGAGCUGGCAAUGAGCAACUCCGACCUGCCCACCAGUCCCCUGGCCAUGGAAUAUGUUAAUGACUUCGAUCUGAUGAAGUUUGAAGUGAAAAAGGAGCCUGUGGAGCCCGAUCGCAACAUCAGCCAGUGCAGCCGCCUCAUCGCCGGGGGAUCAUUGUCUUCCACGCCGAUGAGCACGCCGUGCAGCUCGGUGCCCCCCUCCCCGAGCUUCUCGGCGCCCAGUCCGGGCUCGGGGAGCGAGCAGAAGACACAUAUAGAGGACUUUUACUGGAUGUCCGGUUACCAACAGCAACUCAAUCCAGAGGCGCUGGGCUUCAGCCCCGAGGACGCGGUCGAGGCGCUCAUCAACAGCAGCCACCAGCUUCAGUCAUUCGAUGGCUACGCCAGAGGCCAACAGUUCGCAGGCGCAGCCGGCCCGGGAGGCGCCAUGGCCGGGGAGGAGAUGGGCUCAGCCGCGGCGGUGGUGUCGGCAGUCAUCGCUGCUGCCGCCGCUCAGAACGGUGCUCCGCACCACCACCACCAUCAUCACCACCACAACCACAGCGGGGCAGGAGGCGGCGGAGGCGGGGGCCACCACCACCAGGCGCCCGGCGUCCAGUCCAACGGCGCCUCCGGGACAAACCACCCGCACAUGCGCCUGGAUGAUCGCUUCUCAGACGAGCAGCUGGUGACCAUGUCCGUGCGGGAGCUCAACCGACAGCUCCGGGGGGUCAGCAAGGAAGAAGUGAUCCGGCUCAAGCAGAAGAGGAGGACCCUCAAGAACCGAGGCUACGCGCAGUCGUGCCGCUUCAAGCGAGUCCAGCAGAGGCACGUCCUGGAGGGCGAGAAGACGCAACUGGUGCAGCAAGUGGAGCACCUCAAGCAGGAGAUCUCCAGGCUGGUCCGGGAGAGGGACGCGUACAAAGAAAAGUAUGAGAAGCUCAUCGGCAACGGCUUCAGAGAAAGUGGUUCGAGCAGUGACAACAACCCUUCAUCCCCGGAGUUUUUCAUGUCAUCGAGAAAAUUCCUCCAUCUGUGAUUUCAAACCCCAUUCCUCCGUGCCCUUGGCUUCCUGAGACUGGUUUCAUUGGGAGUUACUGUCCCGAGAAAAGCUGUGACAGAGGCUAUGCUCACACUGCAGACAACUCCACAACUGAGCAGUGAGGACAUCAGAGCGGCUGACCAAUCACAUGAAGACACCUACAAAGCACAACAUUCAAAAAUGUCUUCACCGGGGAACAAAAGACAGGACCUGCUGAAAUCCCUCAAAAUUGCCACUUCUGUCUCCUUCCCUGAUAUUUUACCUCCAGCUUUUUUCUACAAAACAAAAAAGGGGUGGUGGGGAAACAAAGACUAAACGUGACAGACAGUGAAAUCGGGAGGACUACUUUCUCUUCAGCAGGAACUGUACCGAUGCAUGCUUCUGUAAAUAAAUCAUAAUAAAACCCAUACUCCUAAAGCGGGACACAUACCAAGUCGUUCUCACCAUCCCAUAAACCUUCACGACUGUGGGUAGUCCUCAUGGCCCACCAUUUUCCACAUGAAGCAACUACUAUCCAGACACCAUGUAAUUAUCAUUUCCAAUAUCAUUUCUCUUCAUUGUGACCUUAAAAAAAAAAAAAAAAGUGCUUCCAAUUAUCACUGGCUUGAUCUCCAACCACCAAUAUCCGCUUUAGUACAUGUAAAUAGAGAUGGAUGAAGACAACAGCAUGAAACACCAUAUAGUGUAUCAUUGCAGCUCCAGAGUACCAUAGAUCUCAACUUCCAUGUGUGGAUAUUUUAAACAUCUUUCCUAUGAUAAGUUAUUUUCUAAUAGUAACACGCAAAGUGUUUUCUAUACUGCAUAGAGAUCUUAGCUCUAGGUAAAUCUAUUUGUCAACAAGCUUACAGCUUCUACAAGGCAACACACGAGUUUUAUCUGUGGAAAAAGAAGUCACUCUGAAAAGGAAACGUAGGUGAAUCAGGGGUUAACUUACCUUGAAAAGGAGUUAUAUAAAUCUUUAUAUUGGUACUAUUCAGAGGUUUCUUCCAUUUAUUAGCCUACUGUAUGUAUUAUUUCCUAUAGCUGCCAGGGUUGCCAGCCCAGGAGGAAAAACUUUUGCUUUGCAUGGUUGCAUAAGGUGAUUUCAUCCCAUCCUAAUACACUGGGAGAUAGAACACCUCCACCGACAAUUGCACUGCAGAUAUGAGGACACCUCAAUCUGUCUUCAGUGGACCAUUAAAAUCAAAUGGACUGACAGAUAAGAUGCCAAACCAGUGAAUGGACAACCUCAACUGGGACAAUAGGCAACCUUGAUAUGGUCAACAGGGAACUGAACACCUCAACUCCACCGUGCAUCCCCUACCUCUCACGUUUUGGCGACGUUUCCACAAUCCAGUCAGUCCACCUUUCCCCACUGCAUGCCACAAUGUUGGAUGCAACAGACGGAUGCUGCACUGUGGGAAACAAAACAAUUGUUCAGUUACAUUAGAUGCUCAGUGACAUAAGCUAGUAACGUAUCACGGGUUCAUCGCCAAAACUCACAAAUGCCACUGUAUAUAAUGUACUCUAUGUACAGUAUGCCAAUUAUGUAUAGCUAGGGAUGCUGUACUCUGCAUGUUGAGUUGUAGAAGGGUAGGCUCACAUUCCUAUAGUGGAUGCUGUUCAUCAGCCAAAUAGGCAGCAGUGCAGUGCCAAUAGUUCUUAAACUCUUUGAAGGGACACGUAACCUCACUUUUGAUGUGGGACAGAACCUGGCCACAGUGAGCAUGGGUGGGAGGGAAAAGAAGACGAGAGGGAAACUGGGGCGUGCCAAUUAAAUGGCCGCUUACAAAGUGGUACAGGGCAUCCUGCCAGUAGCUGUCCAUUCAUCCAACGUCAAAGGGAUUUGUACAUCUCAAUGAGUCGACAUGCUGCCAGAGAAGUCCAAAAACCAAAGCUGAGGAAAACAAGAGUUCUAAAAGUGAAGGGUGUGUCAAAGCUAUGCUCUCUCCGUCCUUACAAGGUAUACAUUUCUUCUAGACAACCACAUUGGAAAGUUGAAAAAAAAAACAAAUUGACCUCAAACUGUUAGGCUGUCAUGACCUCAUGUCCUGCUAGAAGUUUACUAUGUGCUAAUGAGCUCAGGCGUCAGCUCAACCAGAUGCUCAGCACUGAGGUUACACACCUGAUUCCCCUUCUACUUUUUUUCUAGCACUUUCUUUGAUUUAAAAAAAAAGUCUUUUAACAAAAAAUCCAUUAGUACAAUUAGUCACUUUGUUUCAACUGUUGUGAUAGCCUGACAGCAUGCACACUAUUUUCUAGCAAUGACCCUGCCCAAUCAUAAAUAUCAUCAACAUAAAGAAUAUGCACUGAAAAAAAUCUGUAUUUUCCGCUGUCAGACACACAAAUAAACACUGUAAUCUAAAGAGCAAGACAGUAUGUAAACAGGUCGUCAACAUAAUAGGAUGGUUUAUUGUGUAAACAAUAAGCUGUUACCGUAAUCACAGGUCAAAAGAUAUAUUACCCAGUUGGCCAUGUUGUAGGUAUAUUAACAUGAUGGAUAAGUGAGGGGGGGGUGGGUAGCAUUGAUAUGAAGGGUAGGGAACUCUAUAAAUGCAGCGUUACCAUCUAUUCUCCAUAUACCUCUCCUUCCUCUCCUUGGAAAUGUGUUUUGCAGCACACAAGUGUAGACCACAGUACACUUCCGGCUGAUUAACGUCUAUGGCCUUUAUUUCAUUACCUUCUUGACAAUUAUCUGAACUAGUUAAGAAGUGCAAGCCCAUGUGAUUAAACACCCAAUUAGUGUCAUCACUGGCUGCCUGGACCACUGAAGUUGGGGGCAAAAAAAAUGUGUUUUGGGAAUUUCAGCCAAACCUAUUUUGGUUGGUGACGCUGUUAGACCAUGCAGCGUAACUGAAAUGUGCUUGGCAUCACAGUCGCGCACAGUGUCUGGUGGGGUGUCACGUUUAUUGGUGACCUCAAGCCAGACAUGUUUGGGGAGGAGGGAGUGGGGUCAAAGGUGAAAGGAUUACAGUGUGAAACCCCAUGGCAAUUCCUCUGCUCUAAUCCCUAGCCUCAGGCACAUGCACACAGAUUACACACAUGCAGGCAUUGAAAUGCACAAAGUCAAUGUACAACGCUUUAAAGUGGCCACUUCGUUUUGGUAUUAAAAUGGACAUGGGGACAGUGGCAAAGGCUCAUUCUCAUCACCAGGAAACAAACCUCCUUUUGCCAUACAGCUAAUGACGGCGAUGAAUAAAGCCUUUACAGCCCAUCCUCCCUCCUUAUUGUGACCGGCAGCACAUAAGCUUGUGCUUUGUGUGAGCAGUUAGGCAUCAAGCCCCUUGCUGAGAGAUGAGAUCGCCCAAGAAGAUUUAAGAAGGAAUAUAGAGAAUCGGAUUAACCAAAAAGCUCUCGGCAGACAUGAGAGUAAUACCAUUGAUAAAUGCUGUAAAACAAAUCUUUAGCAUCUGAUUAGGUAAUGGGGAAAAACAGAUGCUUUAAACUUCUAUCUGUCAAUCCCUAUAUAAGAGUCUUGUAGUAUCAAGGCUAGACAUAUUGACUUUGUUCAAAGCAAGGAAGGCAGGGAUUUAUGAAUAUGUACGGUCCUGCUGUUGAGAGAAAUAAAAGGAGAAAAAAAGGCCAGCAGGUGCGGACAGGUGGCUUUCCACCCUACAAGGUUUAGCCAUACAAUCUACUUUCUGACAGCUUCAUUUACUGUCGUAUUUGCAUGCUUUAAAGGAAAACUGCACCUGCACUUUUUUGGAAUGUUGCCCAUCAUCCGCAAUCCUUUAAGUGAGACAUGAACACGGCUUGCUCUUUUCUGUGGGUUCUAAACAUAUAAAAACAGGUAAAAAAGACGCAGCUAAGAAUGCACGUAAUGGGAAACACUUAUUCCGCCUAUAAAGCCUUCUGAAAAAUACUCCAAAAAGCACCAACAAUGCUCCAUUUACAUAUAGCGUGACGUGCAUACAGUAUUAACCAAGCUACAGCGACAUCGUACAUACUAUUAACAUUGUUUCGCAGAUCAAGCUACGUUACUGGCGUAUUGACACCUUGCCACACCACACAGGCUAGCUACUAGCUGGCUAGCAACUAGCUAGCAAUGUCAGCGCCGCACUCAUAAUGUCUCAAAGGUAACGCUAUUGCUGCUGUGUUUUUGUUUUUUGAGUUUGGAAAAGUUAAUGCUAGGUGUAAGCGUUUGUUUCUAUGUUGCUAUGUGAAAUCCCGGGAAAGAAGUUCUGGUAAUACUUAAAAGGACCAAAAUACGGCACAAUUCUGUGCGUAUUGCAUGUUAUCAUGAAUGUACCUGUUACUACAUGGUUACAGCAUGUAUGUAAACCCAUAAAACCUUGUUGGAGAACUGUGGAGGUGUUUUAAUAGCAGUCUUUGUAGGCGGCAUAGGUGUGUCCACAUGAUGUGCAGUAAUGAGCUGUCUCUUUUUAUCUGUUUUUAGAUGUUAAGAACGCACAUAAAAGAGAAAGACGUGUGUUCACGUCUCACAUAAGGAUUGCGGAUGAUGGGCAAUAUUCCCCAAAAAAGUGUUGUUUUUUUUUUUUAAAGCACACUUGAUGAUUUUAAUGUAGCAUCAAAUGGACUUCCUGGUAGCGGAGACAAGCUUAUUUAAACCCUGCAAAGAUUGUUUGCGGCCAUUUAGGCGGAGAAUGUUAGAACUGCUGGCUGGACAUCAGGCUUCACAAUGUAGACUCAAGUGGCUUAAGAGGAUAUGCUAGGAUGCAUGCUAUUCUCCCUGCUGUGAACAAGGCGUAAUCCUUCAGUUUAAGAGGAGUGAAAAGUUUGGAGCAUCCAGAGAGUUAUGCAUAUAUCCCCUUCAUCCUCUCCCAUAGAGGAGAAAGUGUGAGCCAGCAGGGGAUAACCAUAUGCUAUCAAAGUCUUCCCCGCAAAAGCGUACAACUGCAGUCAGUGUAAUUACCACACCAUCAAAUGGGCAUGACAAAAAAGUGUUACAGAGUUCAUAAAGAAAUAUACAUUCCCACAUACAUGUGAUAAGAACACACUUUGCUUUGUUCCUGCAACCGAGGAGGAUGUUUUUAUCACUGUUUGUAGGCGAGAGGAAUUAUGCAAAAACCACUUGAUUCAUUCCCAUAAUCAAUGCUUACAUCACAUUUGGUGCAAAUCCAAGACUGCUGUAGUUUGUUUCGUUCUAGUUCAACUUUAUCUGAGCACUAGCGUAACGUUUCAGUGGCGUGGGUCAGCUCCGUAGUUUGUAUUUACUGUAAGAACUGCUGCUGAUCGACAAUUAAAGAGUUAUGGCUCCUCAUAUCACAUCACAAAGAGCCCACAUCUCUGUUAGCGGAGGUUAAUUUGAGCAUGGCUCUCAUUUCAAUUGUACUGUUGUAAAGGUGCAUAUUAUUUCCCACAUGGGCCUGAAUGAAGACUUUGAUUAUUCAAAAAAGUAGGCCCUGGGCUGACUGCGUUUAUCGUCAGAAGGGUCGUAAGCUGCGUUAACAGCUUCUAGGGUCUUAUUGCAAUGGCGAUCAGCCCCUUGCCACUUGGCCUCCAUGACCCCCAGUCGGAGAUAAGCUUCAUGGGAAAGCACAUUAACAUGCUCCUGGAGUCGCUAGCCUCUUUUAUCAAACGCGGUUAUGUGAAAUCGAGUGUUUAUGGACCCCCAGUGAGGACACAGAGCAGCUGAUUGCCUAUAUUAGAGGCUGAGUGUAAAUGAGCUGGAGGUGGACAAUGGACCUGUACUUGUGGGGAGAACUGAGGAUAUGACGCUGAUGUUUUUCUUACUUACCAAGCAAUAUCUUUUUGCAAUACCCCAUGAGGAGGUUAGCUCGCCAUGAAUCAUAGAUACUCACAAUAUCAUGUCUUCCUUUUCUUACUAAGAUAUGCUAAGACAUCCAAUGUACAUAUAAAAAUAACACUGUAUUAUAUUUUCCUUUUGAUGUUGUUUAAAUGACCACUUAUGUUUGACUAAUUUUGUAAAGACACUCUCCCAAUGGCUGCCUUUUUUACUUGCAUUUCCCACAGACACAUACAACAGCAUUGUCAGAGGUUGUAUACCUGCUAGCGGCCAUUGAAAGACGCUCUCAGUUUGUCUGCAAUGAUGAACGGUGUCUUCUUACACAUGAUGAGGCUGGACUGUUUUCACUGGACAGACAGAGGGAGAAAGAUACGGUCUCAGCUUAAUGUCCUUCGCUGGUGCUGUGCAUGCGCUUUCCUAUUUGCUUUUCCCUUCACGGCACAGUUAACAUCAUAAAUUAACUUUUCCAAGUACUCUGUGCACAGAGACUGGCGCGUAAUAGAGACAAAUAAUAAAUACAAAAAAUCUGGUCUGUGUUAUGCAAUGUAGCGGCACUGGUCAAAUACAUAGCUUGUAACAGAAUUAAGCUAUUCCUUUGUAUCAAUGGGGGUUUCUUGGUCAUUAACGCAUUAUAUUUUACUGUAUGUGCAUGUACUGUGUACUCAACAGACCAGUAUGAGACUGUUGUUUGUUCGCCACCCCCUCCUAAAAACAAAUGAAAGCAAACUGUAGAUCCCGCUCUUCUAAGUCAACGUCUGUAAAUAGGAUGUACAUACCAAACACCUAUGCAUGCUAUUAUAAAAGCAAUUUGUUCAGGUACUUUUGUAAUCCCAAAUUCUCAUAUAGCAUGGAAGGAAAAAUACAAAAAAAAAAACAACAAAAAACAAACAAUUAAAAUGCAUAUGGUUUGUAAAUGAUUAUUGUUAAUGUUUUCUUACUUGAGAACUGAUGCAUCGGUCUGACAUUUACAGCCCUCUGCUUACAUUAUUCAUCCAUAUUUGUAUGUUUCAUAGGGUAGGACUGAUGCAAGAAAGGACCAUACGGUGAUUUGUUGAAAUUUUGGGUGUGUGAGAAAAAAACUCACCUCCAUGUGCAUACACAGUCAAGGAAUAUCGUUUAAACGCUACAAACUGUGGGCAGGCACUUGUUUUAUCGCUCUAAAUAAAUCUUCACCAGCUGUAAAGUGUGCUGCUAUUUUAAAAAGGCUAACGUUUCUGAAACAAAUACAAUAUUAUAAAAACUGAAGCUGGAGGUAAACGCAAUUUUCGACAGAAUGUGUCCACAUUAUGAGAAAUGUUUUGAUUUCAAUUUGAAUUCUAAUAUUGUGUCUACACCAAAAUUUGCAUCUGCCCUAAUCACUUGGAUGUGGCAUUUUAUGAAGAUCACAAUGAGGGACGUUGGAUGAAAAUGUCUGAUUUCAAAGAGUGUUUAUUUUCAACCAUGUUAAACCAUUAAAUCCCAAGGCGCUCAUGGUAGACGGAAGUGUCUAAUUUUUAACCUGUGCUAAAGAUAUUUUAACUUUAAUAAAUAAUUAUUGUAACAAUAAUGAGUGGUUGUUUUGCCCUCUCCUUUCAGGUUUUGCAAAUGAUGGGAAAACUCAAGAAGACACAGAGAAAACAAAAUUAGCUUUAAGUGAAUGCAAUGCAUCUUUGUCCUGGUAAAGCCUUCUUCUUUGAGGGGAAACAAGGUCUGUGCAUUUGCAUAC